ACGUAGGCACCAAGCGUUAUCCGGAUUUAUUGGGCGUAAAGAGCUCGUAGGCGGUUCGGUAAGUCGGGUGUGAAAACUCUGGGCUCAACCCAGAGACGCCACCCGAUACUGCUGUGACUAGAGUGCGGUAGGGGAGCGGGGAAUUCAUGGUGUAGCGGUGAAAUGCGCAGAUAUCAUGAGGAACACCAGCGGCGAAGGCGCCGCUCUGGGCCGUAACUGACGCUGAGGAGCGAAAGCAUGGGUAGCAAACAGGAUUAGAUACCCUGGUAGUCCAUGCCGUAAACGUUGGGCACUAGGUGUGGGUCUCAACCAACGAGAUCCGCGCCGUCGCUAACGCAUUAAGUGCCCCGCCUGGGGAGUACGGUCGCAAGACUA
rnacentral:rRNA from 1 species